ensembl:lncRNA
AUGUGGCAGUGCAGUCAGUGUGUUGCAAAGGAGAGUUGUAGGUACAAAUUACUUAAGCAUUAUAAACUACACCAUUGUUUUGGCAAUCAUUAUGUUUGCAUAUAUUUAAAUUGUCCUUGCACAUUUAAGACAUGGGCAGGACUUAAAACCCACGUGUAUAGAGUUCACCCAUUAAAUUCUACACAGACCGCAACACAUUCAUGUGCUUUUCGAUGUGAGUUAUGCAACCGUUCUGACCUUUCCACGGAAAAAGAUUUAUUUAUUCACAUUGGAACACAUUUGAAAAAUAAUGAGACUGUAACUUGUGUAUUUUUGGGUUGCUCUUUCAAGACAAACAUUUUAAGUUCAUUUUAUUCACACAAAAAAAGAAAGCAUAACUCACACUCACAAAAAGAUUUUAAAGCAGGUUUAACUGUGUUUGCAGACUCGGCACAUAGCUCUGAAGAUUUAAGUGCUGGUAGUUCUACUGAUGUGUCAUAUGCUGAAGUUGGUCCUGAGUCAGUGUCAGAAAGUGAUGAUCUUGCUGUUGUCAAUUUGCCCAAAUUAAUUGAACAGAAAAUAGCUGUGAUAUUGUUGAAAUUAGAACAUAUAUAUCAUAUUCCUGCCAGCUUGUUAGAUGAAUUGUUGGAAGAACUGCAUUUUUUGUUAAGCUCGGCAUGUGCGCCACUCACAAAGCGUACUCUUUCAGAUAUUUUCAAAAGCCAUAACCUCCAGAUCAGUCAAGCUGUUACUGAAGAAUUUGUCAAAUCUGUUUGUGUUGCUAACCCAGUGGCUCAAAUUUUGGGAAAGUACGGACCACUUGCAACCUCUUUCAAAAGAAAACAAUACUACAAACUAAAUUUUAAAGUUGUAGAGCCUUCAGAGUAUUUUCUGUCUGUACAUCAAAGGAGAUCAUUUCAGUAUAUUUCAAUACUAGAGUUAUUGCAGGAAAUAUUAAGUCAUAGUCACAUACUGAAUAGAGUGAUUAAGGAACAAACAGCUAAAGAAAAUUCAGAGGAUUCUUGUGGUGGUCAAAGUGUGUACAGGUCUUUUCGAGACGGCAAGCAUUACACUACUAAUGACUUCCUAGUUGCUCAAGAACUGAGGAUAUUAAUUUCACUCUACAUUGAUGAAUUUGAGGUUUGCAACCCACUUGGGACCUCACGCAAAGAGCAUAAACUUUGUGGUGUAUAUUGGGUGUUAGACAAUUUACCACCAGGCUCGCAUUCUGCUCUUUCAUCCAUUUAUUUAGCAGUGCUUUGUAAAAGUGAAGAUAUAAAGACUUUUGGUUUUGAAAAAGUGUUGGAUCCACUGUUGAAAGAUUUAGUAGUCUUGGAGCAACGUGGUGUGUAUAUUGCUCAGUUAAAUGAAUGUGUUAAAGGCACUGUUACUUGUGUAAUAGCUGACAACCUAGGAGCUCACGGACUUGGAGGUUUUGUAGAAAGUUUUUCUGCUGAAUACAUAUGCAGGUUUUGUAUAGCUAAAAAAUCAGAAAUUCAGUCAUUGACUGCUGGUGCAUUUGAGUGUCGAACACAGGGACUUCACAAAGCACAUUUAAAAUCUGCCCUGGAAACUGAAAGAGUGUGUUGUGGUGUUAAACGAGAUUGUGUUUUAAGUAAGAAUCUUACAAAUUUUUACGUGACUGCAGGCUAUCCCCCAGAUAUAGUACAUGAUUUGUUUGAGGGUGUUAUACCAGUGGAACUAGCUCAUUGUUUUGCUCUUUUUAUCUCAAAGAAAUAUUUCACUCUUGAGAAACUAAACCGCUUGAUCCAAGAUUUUGAGUACAAAUGGGGAGAUAAAACGAAUCGUCCUCACCAGAUACCGCAAACUUUCUCAGUAAAGAAAAGUAUAGGAGGGAAUGCCCAUGAAAACUGGACUCUGCUUCGAUUGUUGCCUUUCAUUGUUGGUCCUCUUGUUCCUGAGGUUGAACCUGCUUGGCAUGUAAUUUUGGAUCUUAAGGACAUAGUGGAGCUUGUUGUAGCCCCUGUCCUUUCUGAUGAAUCAAUAUCAUAUCUUGAGUGUAAAAUCAGUGAACAUCGCCAGAGAUACCAAGAGCUCUUUCCAAAUGUUAACCUUCUUCCUAAGCAUCAUUACUUGGAACAUUACCCUCUUAUGAUUCGCCUCUUUGGACCUCUUGUUCAUAGAUGGACAAUGAGGUUUGAGGCAAAGCAUAGUUUUUUUAAACAGGUUGCUCGCCAUACCAAUUGUUUUAAAAAUAUACCUCUUACCCUUGCCAGAAAGCAUCAGCUCAUGCUUGUGUCUCAUUUGCACUCCUCUGACCAAAAAACAUCUUUUGUGGUAACUAAUUCCUCACCAGUGCCAGUUGAUUUAUUGAAUUCUGACAUUGCAGUCAUGAUCAAGCAAAGGAUACCAAAUGAGACAGAUGCUCAUUUGACAUCACAUGUUUCAUACCAUGGAAUGAACUACAGCAAAGGAAUGAUUGUUGUUCAUGGGCAUUUAUUUGGUCUCCCUGAGUUUGCGGAAAUACUGCAGAUCUGUAUUCUGCAAGGCAAGAUUCAUUUUGUAGUGAAAAAGUUGGCUGCUUGGUACAGAGAACACUUCAGAGCUUUUGAGUUGAGUAUGUCUCAUGUAAAAGAGGUGGUUCUCAUUGAGCAUGGGGAACUCUUGGAUGACUACCCAUUAGCAGUUUAUUCAGUAGCAGGAACGCGUCUUGUCACACUGAAAAGACACAUUGAGUGGCUGGGAAAACAUAAGUAA